rnacentral:rRNA from 1 species
GACGAACGCUGGCGGCGUGCUUAACACAUGCAAGUCGAACGGAAAGGCCCUGCUUUUGUGGGGUGCUCGAGUGGCGAACGGGUGAGUAACACGUGAGUAACCUGCCCUUGACUUUGGGAUAACUUCAGGAAACUGGGGCUAAUACCGGAUAGGAGCUCCUGCUGCAUGGUGGGGGUUGGAAAGUUUCGGCGGUUGGGGAUGGACUCGCGGCUUAUCAGCUUGUUGGUGGGGUAGUGGCUUACCCAGGCUUUGACGGGUAGCCGGCCUGAGAGGGUGACCGGCCACAUUGGGACUGAGAUACGGCCCAGACUCCUACGGGAGGCAGCAGUGGGGAAUAUUGCACAAUGGGCGGAAGCCUGAUGCAGCAACGCCGCGUGCGGGAUGACGGCCUUCGGGUUGUAAACCGCUUUCGCCUGUGACGAAGCGUGAGUGACGGUAAUGGGUAAAGAAGCACCGGCUAACUACGU